rnacentral:snRNA from 1 species
ACAUUCACCUGGCAUGGGGGACGCCAUGACACAAAGGUGGUUUUCUCAGGGAGGUCAUCCAUUGCUCUCUGGACACUGCAUUUCCCCCAAAUCUGGGAAACUCGGCUGCGUAACUUGUGAUAGCUUGCACUCUCGCUGCACG